GAUGAACGCUAGCUACAGGCUUAACACAUGCAAGUCGAGGGGAAACGGCAUUUAGUGCUUGCACCGAAUGGACGUCGACCGGCGCACGGGUGAGUAACGCGUAUCCAACCUUCCCAUAACUAAGGAAUAACCUGCCGAAGGGCAGACUAAUACCUUAUGUAAUCCUUUGAUGGCAUCAGAUUAGGAUAAAAGAUUUAUCGGUUAUGGAUGGGGAUGCGUCUGAUUAGCUUGUUGGCGGGGUAACGGCCCACCAAGGCAACGAUCAGUAGGGGUUCUGAGAGGAAGGUCCCCCACAUUGGAACUGAGACACGGUCCAAACUCCUACGGGAGGCAGCAGUGAGGAAUAUUGGUCAAUGGACGGAAGUCUGAACCAGCCAAGUAGCGUGCAGGAAGACGGCCCUAUGGGUUGUAAACUGCUUUUGUAUGGGGAUAAAGUCAAUCACGUGUGAUUGUUUGCAGGUACCAUACGAAUAAGGACCGGCUAAUUCCGUGCCAGCAGCCGCGGUAAUACGGAAGGUUCGGGCGUUAUCCGGAUUUAUUGGGUUUAAAGGGAGCGUAGGCCGGAGAUUAAGUGUGUUGUGAAAUGUAGACGCUCAACGUCUGACUUGCAGCGCAUACUGGUUUCCUUGAGUACGCACAACGUUGGCGGAAUUCGUCGUGUAGCGGUGAAAUGCUUAGAUAUGACGAAGAACCCCGAUUGCGAAGGCAGCUGACGGGAGCGCAACUGACGCUGAAGCUCGAAGGUGCGGGUAUCGAACAGG
rnacentral:rRNA from 1 species